UUAGUUAAGAUGGAUUUUAGGGCCCAGAGACCCCAUAAACUCCCUCGUGUCCGCUGACGCGCAGAGGAAUGAUUUCCAGUUACGCAUCAGCCACCCAGAGCAACGCUGGCCUCCCACCAGGCAGUGUCUCUGGAUUUCCUUCAUGGCAUUCCUUGUGCUUGGACUUAUGGCUUCUGCUAUCAGUCUUGAGAUCACCUUUGGGAUACCUGUGAAACCUGCAAUCUUGCGAGGUGAUGGUUGUUAUCACCAUUAUCACCCUUAUGAGCAGAGACUCGGAGAAGUUAGGUGACUUGCCCAAGAUCCAUGUAGUUGGUAAAUCUACAAGCUGGAAUUCCAAUCCAGGUCCGCCCAACUCUGAAGCUCACACAGGACAUGGUUUCUACCUUCAAGGAGUUUCUGCUGUAAGUAGGGAGACUAGGGAAACAGUGGUGAACAAGACAGAAGAGCGAAUGAUUCAGUAUUUGGUUGGGUUGGUGUUAAACAUUGUUGGUGAUUUGAGAGAAAUCAGCUCCUCAUGGAUUAGGGGAUACAAACUGUGGUGUCAUCUGCCUCUUAAUUAUCAACCUGGU